rnacentral:misc_RNA from 1 species
CAACCUUCAAGCCUGGCUUGGUAUUGGGUGCCGUCCCCCGGGGCGCGCCUGGAAAACAGCGGCGGUGCGGCCGGUGAUCGAGCGUAGUAACUACUCCCGCUUCGAGCCACCCGGGCGUUCCAGCCGGACAACAUCUAUUUUUCAAU